UCCGACCCGUCCCCCGCGCGCCACUGCAGAGCCUGUCCGUCAGUCCCUAGGUAUCCGCACUGCUCAGGGCAGCUGAUAGAACCAUGGCGACCAUUGCUGCUGCUGCGUUUGAGGCCCUCAUGGAUGGAGUGACAUGCUGGGAUGUCCCCAGAGGCCCCAUCCCCAGUGAACUCCUUCUUAUUGGAGAAGCCGCCUUCCCCGUGAUGGUGAAUGACAAGGGCCAGGUGCUCAUUGCUGCCUCCUCCUACGGCCGAGGCCGCCUCGUGGUUGUGUCCCAUGAGGGCUACCUGUCGCAUGCUGGCUUGGCUUCAUUUCUCCUCAAUGCAGUGAGCUGGCUCUGUCCCUGUCCUGGGGCUCCCGUGGGAGUGCGUCCAUCCCUGGCACCUCUAGUAAACAUCCUACAGGAUGCUGGGCUUGAGGCACAGGUCAAGCCAGAACCAGGAGAGCCCCUAGGGGUUUACUGUAUCAAUGCCUACAAUGACACCUUGACUGCAACGCUGAUCCAGUUUGUGAAACAUGGAGGGGGCUUGUUAAUCGGGGGCCAGGCCUGGUACUGGGCCAGCCAGCACGGCCCUGACAAGGUGCUCUCCAGGUUCCCUGGGAACAAGGUGACAAGUGUAGCCGGAGUGUACUUCACUGACACCUAUGGGGACAGAGACCGGUUCAAGGUCUCUAAGAAGGUGCCCAAGAUCCCACUCCAUGUCAGGAGGAUUCCCUGGGAGCACCCACCAGCUGAGAUCUGCACAUCAGCCACAAUCCUCUCAGGACGGCGGAAAGGGAAGGGCUCAGCCGCCAGCCUGGCCACAGCCUGCAUCAUCUCAUCCCAGAGGCGGAGCACAGGCUCGGGGUCCUUCAGGGCCUGAAGGUUUGUGGUUGGCACUGUCAGGAUGAUGUUGUCCGUGGCCAGCUCUCCCCAGGGAGCCAGGUUCUCCUGCAUCUGCCUCUUCCACUCCUCCAGCGAUGUCUUACCU
rnacentral:lncRNA from 1 species